GCAGAAACAUUGGUUCUCGUCCUAUCAUCGAAGUUAAUCAAUUUUGAUCUUGGCCAGUACCUAGAUGGGUAACCACUUGGGAAUACCAGGUGCUGUAAG